GACGAACGCUGGCGGCGUGCUUAACACAUGCAAGUCGGGCGGUAAGGCCCUUUCGGGGGUACACGAGCGGCGAACGGGUGAGUAACACGUGGGUGACCUGCCCUUAGCUCUGGGAUAAGCCUGGGAAACUGGGUCUAAUACCGGAUAUGACUCCAUGACGCAUGUUGUGGGGUGGAAAGCCUUGUGCGGCUAGGGAUGGGCCCGCGGCCUAUCAGCUUGUUGGUGGGGUGAUGGCCUACCAAGGCGACGACGGGUAGCCGGCCUGAGAGGGCGACCGGCCACACUGGGACUGAGACACGGCCCAGACUCCUACGGGAGGCAGCAGUGGGGAAUCUUGCGCAAUGGGCGAAAGCCUGACGCAGCGACGCCGCGUGGGGAUGACGGCCU
rnacentral:rRNA from 1 species